GACGAACGCUGGCGGCGUGCCUAAUACAUGCAAGUAGAACGCCGUUGCUAACGGGUGAGUAACGCGUAGGUAACUGCCUCAUAGCAGGGGAUCACUAUUGGAAACGAUAGCUAAUACCGCAUACUGUGAGAUGGACCUGCGUUGUAUUAGCUAGUUGGUUCGGUAAAGGGUCACCAAGGCGACGAUACAUAGCCGACCUGAUAGGGUGAACGGCAAACCUGGGAAUGGGGACCGGCCCAGACUUCUUCGGGAAGCAGCAGUAGGGAAUCAUAGGACAUUGAAGGAAGUCUGGACGAGCCAAGCCGGGUGAGUGGAGAAGGUUUUCGGAAUGGAAAGGUCUGUUGGUAGAGAAGCGGUAACUAACCAGAAAGGGACGGCUAACUACGUGCCAGCAGCCGCGGUAAUAC
rnacentral:rRNA from 1 species